AGUUAAACAGUACGUGAAAUUGUUGAAAGGGAAACGAUUGAAGCCAGUCGUACCUUCGGGUAAUCAGCCUUUCGGGUGCGAUUCUGUGGAGUGUGAGGAGCUUAAACACCUUCAUGUUUUGCAUAUUCGUACUCUUGGGUGUACUUGUCCGUGUGGUUGGUUAACAUCAAUUUUGGUGGUCAUAAAAUGACUGGGGGAAUGUAGCUUCGAUCUUGUAUUGAAGUGUUAUAGCCUUCGGUAGAUGUGAUGAUCGAGAUUGAGGAUUGCAACGGAUACCCUUUGGGGCUACCUGUCUGAUCUCUGAUCGUUGCUUUGGUGCCGAAAGCUUGCUUACGGUUAUCAAAGUCGAUGGUCAAUAGGUUAGAACGGGUUAAAUUCGUUAAGGAUGUUGACGUAAUGGCUUUAAA
rnacentral:misc_RNA from 1 species